rnacentral:lncRNA from 1 species
AGGUGAUGGAAGAUUCACGAGGGUGUUAGCCAUGGAGGUCUGGUGAACCGUGUGCUUUCUUGGGACAUCUGGAGUUUCCUGUCCAGCAUCAGUUAUGCUCGCUACUUGGUGCAUCCGAUUCUGAUCAUCCUUUACAAUGGCCUUCAGGAAACACUUAUUCACCACACUGACACCAACAUGUUCUAUCUUUUCUCUGGACACCGUGUGCUGACCUUCGUCACUGGGCUGGCCCUGACGCUGUUCAUUGAGAAACCAUGUCAGGAACUGAAGCAGCACCUGCUGGGCCAUGAAUGUUCUGGUUAAAACACAAAAGAAUGGAUGGGCCUUGUUGGUAAUGACGAGCAAAGAUGAGGUGGCCUUAUCUAGGUGAUGAAUGCUUGUAUUCCCGAGAAGGGGUGUGAAUCUCAUUUUGUGAAAGUUUAAUAUAUACAUUUUCUUUGCAUUUAAUAUGUGAAAGAGUUCUUAGUUCUUAUGAUGUAAGAGAGUUCUCUAAAUUUUUAGUAGCACAAUAAUAAACUUCUGUUGUACCAUUUUAGCAAACAACAACAACAACAACAACAGAAACUGGAUUUCUUUUUGGUUUAAACUCCAUUUGAUUGUCUGUAUCAAUGAUCACAGGAAAUGAUUAAAUGUCGUGCAUUUAAUGU